UGGGGAAUAUUGCACAAUGGAGGGAACUCUGAUGCAGCGACGCCGCGUGAGUGAUGAAGGAAUUCGUUUCGUAAAACUCUGUUCUAUGGGAAGAAAAGGACUGUACCAUAGGAGAAAGCUCCGGCUAAAUACGUGCCAGCAGACGCGGUAAUACGUAUGGAGCGAGCGUUGUCCGGAAUUAUUGGGCGUAAAGGGUGCGCAGGCGGCUUUACAAGUUGGAUGUGAAAUAUUGUGGCUCAACCACAAACGUGCAUCCAAAACUGCAAAGCUUGAGUUAAGGAGAGGUAAGUGGAAUUCCUGGUGUAGCGGUGGAAUGCGUAGAUAUCAGGAGGAAUACCGGUGGCGAAGGCGACUUACUGGACUUAAACUGACGCUCAGGCACGAAAGCGUGGGGAGCAAACAGG
rnacentral:rRNA from 1 species